AUAUGUUCAUAUAGAUCAUGUAAUAAUGUUUAAUUUGAGGGGAUAAACAAUUCUGCACAUAUUCAGUUUUUUGUCUCUCACGUUUUUAUUAUUUUUUGUUAUUUUCUGAAUCUGUAAAAAUUUUAGGAAGAUUAUAUUCCUAUUCUUCACGAAAUUCUAUUAAUUUUAAGCUUAAGAAUAACUAAAAAAGCUUUUGUAUUUUGU
rnacentral:misc_RNA from 1 species